CUUUUCUUUACCCCCUUGCGUCACACACUCACUCGCUCAUACACACACACACUGACCAUUACACACACACACACACUGCUAAUACACACACACUGGCUCUAACGCACACAGUCUCUUACACACUUGGACAGCUUAUACACACUCACCGGCUCUAACAGACACACACAAACAGUCUCUUACACACACUGCUUAUACACACUCACUAGCUGUAACACACACACAGUCUCUCACACACACAGUCUCUCACACACACACACUGCUUUACACUCACACAGUCUCUUACACACACACAGUUUAUAGACACACACACACACUAACUCUUACACACACACUGGCUAUAACACGCACACACACACACACACACACUAGCUCUUACAUACACACACUGGCUCUAACACACACACAUUAACACACACACAUUAACACACACACACACUAACUCUUACACACACACAAACUCUUACACACACACACUGGCUCUAACACACACACACAUACUGGCUCUAACACGCACACACACUAACUCUUACAUACACACACUGGCUUUAACACACACAAACUCUUACACACACACACACACACUGGCUGUAACACACACACAUACUGGCUCUAACACGCACACACACUAACU